rnacentral:misc_RNA from 1 species
AAAAAUUGAGGUAUUCAUUACCUCUUUGUAUUUAAAACCUCACUCUAUAAAACCUAAAAUUUUUAUAUAAAAUGAA